rnacentral:rRNA from 1 species
GACAGAGGAUGCAAGCGUUAUCCGGAAUGAUUGGGCGUAAAGCGUCUGUAGGUGGCUUUUCAAGUCCGCCGUCAAAUCCCAGGGCUCAACCCUGGACAGGCGGGUGGAAACUACCAAGCUGGAGUACGGUAGGGGCAGAGGGAAUUUCCGGUGGAGCGGUGAAACGCAUUGAGAUCGGAAAGAACACCAACGGCGGAAAGCACUCUAGCUGGGCCGACACUGCACUGAGAGACG